rnacentral:rRNA from 1 species
AUUGAACGCUGGUGGAAUGCUUUACACAUGCAAGUCGAACGGCAGCACGGGGGCAACCCUGGUGGCGAGUGGCGAACGGGUGAGUAAUACAUCGGAACGUGCCCGGUCGUGGGGGAUAACGUAGCGAAAGUUACGCUAAUACCGCAUACGAUCUGAGGAUGAAAGCGGGGGACCUUCGGGCCUCGCGCGAUCGGAGCGGCCGAUGUCAGAUUAGGUAGUUGGUGGGGUAAAGGCCUACCAAGCCGACGAUCUGUAGCUGGUCUGAGAGGACGACCAGCCACACUGGGACUGAGACACGGCCCAGACUCCUACGGGAGGCAGCAGUGGGGAAUUUUGGACAAUGGGCGCAAGCCUGAUCCAGCCAUUCCGCGUGCAGGACGAAGGCCUUCGGGUUGUAAACUGCUUUUGUAUGGAACGAAAAGGCUCUGGCUAAUACCUGGGGCUCAUGACGGUACCGUAAGAAUAAGCACCGGCUAACUACGUG